rnacentral:ncRNA from 4 species
GGGUCUACCCAUUGGUCAGGCUUAAUUGUCUGCACUGGUGAGAUGGAUCUCUACCUUCUGAGGAACUUUCAUGCCAUUUAUUUGGUGUGAUGGGAAAUCAGGACUGUUACUUUGAAAAAAUUAGAGUGUUUAAAGCAGACUAUCGUCUGAAUACAUUAGCAUGGAAUAAUGAAAUAGGACGGACUGAUUCUAUUUCGUUGGUUUCUAGGAUCACCGUA